GAUGUACGCUGGCGGCGUGCCUAAUACAUGCAAGUCGAGCGAACAGACGAGGAGCUUACUCCUCUGACGUUAGCGGCGGACGGGUGAGUAACACGUGGAUAACCUACCUAUAAGACUGGGAUAACUUCGGGAAACCGGAGCUAAUACCGGAUAACAUGUUGAACCGCAUGGUUCAACAGUGAAAGACGGUCUUGCUGUCACUUAUAGAUGGAUCCGCGUCGCAUUAGCUAGUUGGUAAGGUAACGGCUUACCAAGGCAACGAUGCGUAGCCGACCUGAGAGGGUGAUCGGCCACACUGGAACUGAGACACGGUCCAGACUCCUACGGGAGGCAGCAGUAGGGAAUCUUCCGCAAUGGGCGAAAGCCUGACGGAGCAACGCCGCGUGAGUGAAGAAGGUCUUCGGAUCGUAAAACUCUGUUAUUAGGGAAGAACAAAUGUGUAAGUAACUAUGCACGUCUUGACGGUACCUAAUCAGAAAGCCACGGCUAACUACGUG
rnacentral:rRNA from 1 species